AUAUUUUUAUGGAAAGCUUAAAAAUAAAACAACAUUUCAAAGGCAGAGCAAGAAGAACUUACUUACAGGACAGCAUUCAUUUCCAUCUCAUUCAUUUGUUUAUUCUUUUCUUCUUUUUUUUUUCCUAUUUCUAGGAAAUGUAUGGGUAUGUAUUUUCUAGGUAGAGAGUUUGGCAAUAGAACACAUUAGAGCACUUACAAGGAAUCAAAUGUGGGUAGCAGGCAAGUGACACAAAAUGAAAGACAAUACACAUUCUAAGUCCUGAUAAGAUUUACAUUUUCAGCAUCAGCAGAGUAGGGUGAAAAGUGCUCCAACAUAACCAUCAGAGCACUAGGUUUCAGUUGUGAUGCUGCCAUCAGGUGGCUUAGGACCAGCUACUUAAUUAAUCUGACCUUCAGUUGAUCUGUAAAAUAAUAUUGCUGGAUAGCACGUAGUGAUGAUGCCUGUAGCAGGUCCUGCUCUAGUGUUUUCGUUAGUCUGUUCCUUUUUCUCUUUGAACUUAUUUCCCUCUUCCAGACACGGACUGGGAGUAUUAAUCUUGAGAAAAUGGAAAUUGGUACUUAAAUAUAAAUGGGCGAAGACUAUGGUUGUUUGUUCAAUGUUUUUCUUCUGUCUCUACAUACUGAGUCUGCACCUGUAGUAUGUAAAAUAUUGCAGAAAUGUAAGGAUGAAGACAGUAGAGUCUUUGUCUAAAACAGAGUUCUAGAACACAGGAGAAGCUAGGGCUAUCCUGUGGAAUCUUGGAAGUGAGGAAGGUGGAGUGAAGCAGGGACUUGAUGGCCAAACUGACCUCUGAACUGAGGUUUUCAAUCAAUUAUCAUUACAUCUGCAUGUACCAUUUAUUACGUGCAGCGCAUUGUGUGCUAGUCACUGUAGAAAACAGUGGAUCUGCAAGCAAUCUAACAGAAGAUGGAGAUACUAAGAGGAGAGGAGCCCAACUUUAUCACUGCAGACAUAAAGAUUCAUUAUUUUUGCCAAUUUCAAAAGUAAACCUUAUAAAUAUCUAUGCUUUCC
ensembl:lncRNA